GUGGGGAAUUUUGCGCAAUGGGGGAAACCCUGACGCAGCAACGCCGCGUGAGUGAUGAAGGCCUUCGGGUCGUAAAGCUCUGUCAGAGGGGAAGAAGUGUGAGGUGGCUAAUAUCCAUUUCACUUGACGGUACCUUCAAAGGAAGCACCGGCUAACUCCGUGCCAGCAGCCGCGGUAAUACGGAGGGUGCGAGCGUUGUUCGGAAUUAUUGGGCGUAAAGCGCGUGUAGGCGGUUUUUUAAGUCUGAUGUGAAAGCCCUGGGCUCAACCCGGGAAGUGCAUUGGAAACUGGGAGACUUGAAUACGGGAGAGGGCAGUGGAAUUCCUGGUGUAGGAGUGAAAUCCGUAGAUAUCAGGAGGAACACCGGUGGCGAAGGCGGCUGCCUGGACCGAUAUUGACGCUGAGACGCGAAAGCGUGGGGAGCAAACAGGAUUAGAUACCCUAGUAGUCC
rnacentral:rRNA from 1 species